rnacentral:rRNA from 1 species
GAUGAACGCUGGCGGCGUGCCUAAUACAUGCAAGUCGAGCGAACGGACGAGAAGCUUGCUUCUCUGAUGUUAGCGGCGGACGGGUGAGUAACACGUGGAUAACCUACCUAUAAGACUGGGAUAACUUCGGGAAACCGGAGCUAAUACCGGAUAAUAUUUUGAACCGCAUGGUUCAAAAGUGAAAGACGGUCUUGCUGUCACUUAUAGAUGGAUCCGCGCUGCAUUAUCUAGUUGGGAAGGUAACGGACUACCAAGGCAACGAUGCAUAGCCGACCUGAGAGGCUGAUCGGCCACACUGGAACUGAGACACGGUCCAGACUCCUACGGGAGGCAGCAGUAGGGAAUCUUCCGCAAUGGGCGAAAGCCUGACGGAGCAACGCCGCGUGAGUGAUGAAGGUCUUCGGAUCGUAAAACUCUGUUAUUAGGGAAGAACAUAUGUGUAAGUAACUGUGCACAUAUUGACGGUACCUAAUCAGAAAGCCACGGCUAACUACGUG